AGAGUUUGAUCCUGGCUCAGGAUGAACGCUAGCGACAGGCUUAACACAUGCAAGUCGAGGGGCAUCGGGGAGCGAAGCUUGCUUUGCUCCGCCGGCGACCGGCGCACGGGUGAGUAACGCGUAUGCAACCUGCCCGUUUCAGCGGGAUAACCCGGAGAAAUCCGGCCUAAUACCGCAUGUGGCCGAGGGAAGGCAUCUUCUUUCGGCCAAAGGAGGCGACUCCGGAGACGGAUGGGCAUGCGUGACAUUAGCUUGUUGGCGGGGUAACGGCCCACCAAGGCGACAAUGUCUAGGGGUUCUGAGAGGAAGGUCCCCCACACUGGUACUGAGACACGGACCAGACUCCUACGGGAGGCAGCAGUGAGGAAUAUUGGUCAAUGGUCGGGAGACUGAACCAGCCAAGCCGCGUGAGGGAGGAAGGUACAGAGUAUCGUAAACCUCUUUUGUCAGGGAACAAAGGCGGGGACGCGUCCCCGGAUGAGUGUACCUGAAGAAAAAGCAUCGGCUAACUCCGUGCCAGCAGCCGCGGUAAUACGGAGGAUGCGGGCGUUAUCCGGAUUUAUUGGGUUUAAAGGGUGCGUAGGCGGAAUAUCAAGUCAGCGGUAAAAAUUCGGGGCUCAACCCCGUCGUGCCGUUGAAACUGAUGUUCUUGAGUGGGCGAGAAGUAUGCGGAAUGCGUGGUGUAGCGGUGAAAUGCAUAGAUAUCACGCAGAACUCCGAUUGCGAAGGCAGCAUACCGGCGCCCAACUGACGCUGAAGCACGAAAGCGUGGGUAUCGAACAGGAUUAGAUACCCUGGUAGUCCACGCAGUAAACGAUGAAUGCUAAUUGUCCGGAGGGAUUGACCUCUGGGUGAUACAGCGAAAGCGUUAAGCAUUCCACCUGGGGAGUACGCCGGCAACGGUGAAACUCAAAGGAAUUGACGGGGGCCCGCACAAGCGGAGGAACAUGUGGUUUAAUUCGAUGAUACGCGAGGAACCUUACCCGGGCUCAAACGCAGGAGGAAUACAUUUGAAAGGGUGUAGCUCUACGGAGUCUUCUGCGAGGUGCUGCAUGGUUGUCGUCAGCUCGUGCCGUGAGGUGUCGGCUUAAGUGCCAUAACGAGCGCAACCCCUAUCGACAGUUGCCAACAGGUGAAGCUGGGAACUCUGUCGAGACUGCCGGCGCAAGCUGAGAGGAAGGCGGGGAUGACGUCAAAUCAGCACGGCCCUUACGUCCGGGGCGACACACGUGUUACAAUGGCGGCCACAGCGGGAAGCCAGGCGGCGACGCCGAGCGGAACCCGAAAAGCCGUCUCAGUUCGGAUUGGAGUCUGCAACCCGACUCCAUGAAGCUGGAUUCGCUAGUAAUCGCGCAUCAGCCUCGGCGCGGUGAAU
rnacentral:rRNA from 1 species